CCUCGUGCGGCGUCAUCCAGCGAAUCCCCCAGGACCGGAAGGUAGCAAGGGUAAGCGGGCUCUGGCGGGUGCGCGAGGGG
rnacentral:SRP_RNA from 1 species